GCCUCUGUAGCUCAGUGCCAGAGCACUGGUCUUGUAACCCAGGGGUCGUGAGCUCAAUCCUCACAGGAGGCU
rnacentral:tRNA from 1 species